rnacentral:rRNA from 1 species
UGGGGAAUAUUGCACAAUGGUGGGAACUCUGAUGCAGCGACGCCGCGUGAGUGAUGAAGGAAUUCGUUUCGUAAAACUCUGUUCUAUGGGAAGAAAAGGACUGUACCAUAGGAGAAAGCUCCGGCUAAAUACGUGCCAGCAGCCGCGGUAAUACGUAUGGAGCGAGCGUUGUCCGGAAUUAUUGGGCGUAAAGGGUGCGCAGGCGGCUUUACAAGUUGGAUGGUAAAUAUUGUGGCUCAACCACAAACGUGCAUCCAAAACUGCAAAGCUUGAGUUAAGUAGAGGUAAGUGGAAUUCCUGGUGUAGCGGUGGAAUGCGUAGAUAUCAGGAGAAAUACCGGUGGCAAGGCGACUUACUGGACUUAAACUAACGCUCAGGCACGAAAGCGUGGGGAGCAAACAGG